rnacentral:rRNA from 1 species
UACGUAGGGUGCAAGCGUUAAUCGGAAUUACUGGGCGUAAAGCGUGCGCAGGCGGCUAUGCAAGACAGAUGUGAAAAUCCCCGGGCUCAACCUGGGAACUGCAUUUGUGACUGCAUGGCUAGAGUACGGUAGAGGGGGAUGGAAUUCCGCGUGUAGCAGUGAAAUGCGUAGAUAUGCGGAGGAACACCGAUGGCGAAGGCAAUCCCCUGGACCUGUACUGACGCUCAUGCACGAAAGCGUGGGGAGC